rnacentral:rRNA from 1 species
ACUCUUACGGGAGGCAGCAGUAGGGAAUCUUCCACAAUGGACGCAAGUCUGAUGGAGCAACGCCGCGUGAGUGAAGAAGGUUUUCGGAUCGUAAAGCUCUGUUGUUGUGAAGAAGGAUAGAGGUAGUAACUGGCCUUUAUUUGACGGUAAUCAACCAGAAAGUCACGGCUAACUACGUGCCAGCAGCCGCGGUAAUAC